rnacentral:RNase_P_RNA from 1 species
AACUGUGCCAGUGGCAAUCGCCUGCGGACACCGGUUCGCGGGAGGAAAGUCCGAACACCGAAGGGCGGAGUGCCGGACAAGAUUUCGCUUCGGCGAAGUGCAAGUUCGGGAAGUGCGCUGCAAAGUGGGCUGACAGAGAGUGCAACAGAAAGCAAACCGUCCCGCGCCUGUUUUCAGGGGCGGGAUAAGGGUGAAACGGCGGUGUAAGAGACCACCAGUUGACGGAGCGAUCCGUCAAGCUCUGAAAACCUCGCUCGGUGCAAGGCUAUGUAAGAAACCGCGUUUCUUCGGAAACCGAACGCGGCCCGUGUGAGUGCCUGAGGCUUGGCUUCGGGCAACGGUUUCGGGUGAGCCGCAUCAGAUAAAUGAUUGCCUGCCGCUUCGUUCGCAAGAAUGAAAUGGCAAACAAAAUUCGGCUUACACGGCGCAGUUUCAA